UUCCUUCUCCCUGAUCGCUCCUCUCUCCUCUCCCUCUCUCUUUUUUUCAGCAGCCCUCACAAUGAAGAAAAACCCUAAACUUUUCUUUUUUAUACCCUUUUAUCCUAACCGUCGGAUCUCUCUGACUCAAUCUGGGUCAUCCAUUCUCUUUUUAAAUCUCAGUCAUUCGAUCUUCUCAGACAGUUCGAUCAGGAUCAUCC
rnacentral:lncRNA from 1 species